GACGGAGGAUGCAAGUGUUAUCCGGAAUUACUGGGCGUAAAGCGUGUGUAGGCGGACCCCUAAGUGUCUUGUGAAAUCCCACGGCUCACCCGUGGAACCGCUGGGCAUACUGGGGGUCUUGGGCCAUUCAGGGGCGACUGGAACAAGCGGUGGAGCGGUGAAAUGCGUAGAUAUCGCUUGGAACGCCGACGGUGAAAACAGGUCGCUGGGAAUGUGCCGACGCUGAGACACGAAAGCCAGGGGAGCAAACGGG
rnacentral:rRNA from 1 species